AAACAAUUAGGUCUGAGAGACUUCCUUAGCAAUCUACAAUGCCUUCCUCCUCUACACCGAGGCAGUGCUUGCGCAGUUUUGAGAGAGGGUCCUGCGGAAAGCCCAGGCCAGUUCUCGCGGCCUCUGGGCUGGACCAGGCUCUGCUCUGAGCGCGCUGCUCGGCGGCCCCGCGGGCGAGCCUACCGCUUCCCACGGCGACUCGGGCUCCAGCGCCAGGCGCUGGCGCGGACCCGCUUCCGUUCCGGGAGAGCGAGGGGCCCGAAACUUCACCUUCGCCCUGGACCUCAGAACACCGACCCGAGGCCGAAGCAAAGCCCCCGCCCCGCGCCAGUCCCGGGCGGCGGAGGCGAAGCCCACCGAGCCUAGAGAGAGCGAAGCCGCCCCCUGCUGGCCAGAUGAGGCAGGCGCGGCCAACAGCUCCGCUCCCCUCCGUCCCGCCGGCGCGCCUGCCCGGACCCAGCGCGACCCUCCUGUGCCCCCAGCGAGGGGGACGUGUUCAAAGAAACAGAAAACAAAACAAAAACAAACCAAGGGCCAAAACCACUCUCACCUCGUUUGCUGCUCAAAGUGAUCAGAGAACAAAGGAAUCCUUGAAGAAAGUGAGACUCAAAGCAUCGCAGGAUAUAUGAUUUCUGAUUCUUUGUUCAGAAAACAAGGGCAUCCAUGCCAGCCAGUGCUUCGAUGGUGAGAAAAUUACUCUGCUUCAUGAAGAGCCAUUCAGCAGGAUACUGGCAGUCCACUUUCUCGUGUUAAUUAUUUCUGCCCUGAUUGCCUGGCAACACAUAACAUGGAAAGCAUUAUACUUUGCUAUUUGUGAAUUCCAGCUGAAUGCAGGAAGAAAAUGGAAUACAAAGUCAGCUGGAGAUGCAACUUAAUAAGUUAGAAUAAUUUCCUUCCUCAUUUAGGACAUGGUCUGAAAGAAUAGAAGAUGGUGGUCAUUCUUCAACAGUUUGACAGCCUACACUGCUUCAGAUGUGGCAAAGUUUAUUUCAAAAAGUAAAAGUCAAGAAUGACAGAGAAACUGGCUCUACAGAGUGAGCCAGGUGAAAGAGGAAAAAAGCAAGAUAAAAGCACACCCUGGAGAAAGCAGGGCUGGAUACCAUGAAGAAAGCCAUGAUAGUCUUAUUUUGUUUUCAUUUCCUGUGAAGCCCUAUUCAUCUCCUUUGUUCAUUUUACUUGUUGUGUUUUUUGAUGUUUAUCUAUUUGUACAUGAAUUUGGUAAUUUAGAUAUAAGCUUUUUGUUUAUUCAUAGGCAUUGCAAAUAUCUUCUCAAUGUGUACUUGUGUUUUAAAUUUUUCUAUUGUUAUGCAUAUGUUUUAAAUUUAAGUGUAAUUAAGAAUAUUUUUUCUUGUAUGUUUUAGACUUUCAGAAUGAGCAAAAUCACAUCCUAAAAAUAUCCUAUACUUUCUUCUUCUAAAACUUUAGAUUUAAUUUUCACAGGUAAAUUUUCAGUUCACUUUAGAUUUUUAUAAAAUGUAUUUUUAAAAUUUACGUGAGCUAAAAUUCCUAUUUCUUUUCUUUUCCUUCUCCCCAUUCCCAACCAGUUUUGUGAGAUUUAACAGUUACAUAGCUUUACAGGAACACUAUCACAGUCAAAAUACAGAACACUUUGAUGAAGGGAAAGUUUCCCUUAGAUUGCCCCUGGGCAAACUCCCUGCCCUAAAUCCUGGCAACCACUGAUUUGUUCUGUAUCCCUAUAGAUUUUUUUUGGUUGUUUGUUUUGUAUCAGAUACUGGGGAUUGAAGCCAGGCCUUCAUGUACUGAGCUACCUCCCCAGUCUCCUCAGUUCCUAAUUUCCCAGUCUGGGGUUGAAUGCUAGAUCCUUUUGCUCAGCCUCAAUACUGGGAUUACAGCUAUGUGCCUCUAUGCUGGGUUACCUUAUAGUUUGUUUUUGCUUUUUUACUUUUUAAAGUAAAUCAUAGACAUAGAAUCAUAAAAUAUGUAAUCUUUGAAAUUACUUUCUUUUACUUGGCAUAAGAUGUUGCUUGUACUGCAUUAGUAAUUCCAUUUUAAAAAAUUUAUUGAAUAGCAUUUUAUUAUAGGGACAUACCACAGUUAUUUAUCCACUAAACUAUUACAAGAUAUUUAGGUCAUUUCCAGUUUUUGUUGACUAUAAAUGUGCUGCUGUAAGUGUUCUUGAACAGGUUUGUGUGAACAUAUGGUUUCAUCUCUAGAGGGCAAAUUCCAAAGAUAAAUGCUUGUUUUACUUUGUAAGAAUCUGUCACAGAGUGUUUCAGAGUGACUAUUGUCAUUUUUGCAAUGUAGAAAGAUGCUAGUCACUCUGUAUUCUUGCCAGCCUUAGAUAUUACUAUUACCAUUAUGAUGAUGAUGAUGAUGAUGAUGAUGAUGAUGAUGAUGAUGAUGAUGAUUGCUCUUUAGCCAUCCCAG
rnacentral:lncRNA from 1 species